rnacentral:rRNA from 1 species
CCUUACGGCUCAGUAACACGUGGAUAACCUGCCCUUGGGUCCGGCAUAACCCCGGGAAACUGGGGAUAAUUCCGGAUAACGCAUAUAUGCUGGAAUGCUUUAUGCGUAAAAUGGAUUCGUCUGCCCAAGGAUGGGUCUGCGGCCUAUCAGGUAGUAGUGGGUGUAAUGUACCUACUAGCCAACAACGGGUACGGGUUGUGAGAGCAAGAGCCCGGAGAUGGAUUCUGAGACAUGAAUCCAGGCCCUACGGGGCGCAGCAGGCGCGAAAACUUUACAAUGCGGGAAACCGUGAUAAGGGGACACCGAGUGCCAGCAUCAUAUGCUGGCUGUCCGGGUGUGUAAAAUACACCCGUUAGCAAGGGCCGGGCAAGACCGGUGCCAGCCGCCGCGGUAACACCGGCGGCCCGAGUGGUGAUCGUGAUUAUUGGGUCUAAAGGGUCCGUAGCCGGUUUGGUCAGUCCUCCGGGAAAUCUGAUGGCUCAACCAUUAGGCUUUCGGGGGAUACUGCCAGGCUUGGAACCGGGAGAGGUAAGAGGUACUACAGGGGUAGGAGUGAAAUCUUGUAAUCCCUGUGGGACCACCUGUGGCGAAGGCGUCUUACCAGAACGGGUUCGACGGUGAGGGACGAAAGCUGGGGGCACGAACCGGAUUAGAUACCCGGGUAGUCCCAGCCGUAAACGAUGCUCGCUAGGUGUCAGGCAUGGCGCGACCGUGUCUGGUGCCGCAGGGAAGCCGUGAAGCGAGCCACCUGGGAAGUACGGCCGCAAGGCUGAAACUUAAAGGAAUUGGCGGGGGAGCAC